UACGUAGGGUGCAAGCGUUGUCCGGAAUUAUUGGGCGUAAAUAGCUCGUAGGCGGUCUGUCGCGUCUGCUGUGAAAAUCCAGGGCUCAACCCUGGACCUGCAGUGGGUACGGGCAGACUAGAGUGCGGUAGGGGAGAUCGGAAUUCCUGGUGUAGCGGUGAAAUGCGCAGAUAUCAGGAGGAACACCGGUGGCGAAGGCGGGUCUCUGGGCCGUAACUGACGCUGAGGAGCGAAAGCAUGGGGAGCGAACAGG
rnacentral:rRNA from 1 species